UGCGUAGGUGGUUGGUUAAGUUUGAGGUGAAAGCUCCGAGCUCAACUCGGAAAAUGCCUUGAAGACUAUCUGACUAGAGGAUUGGAGGGGAGAUUGGAAUUCUCGGUGUAGCAGUGAAAUGCGUAGAUAUCGAGAGGAACAUCAGUGGCGAAGGCGAAUCUCUGGACAAUUCCUGACACUGAGGCACGAAAGUCAAGGGAGCAAACG
rnacentral:rRNA from 1 species